rnacentral:rRNA from 1 species
UGGCGAACGGGUGAGUAACACGUGACCGAACCUGCCCCACGACGAUCGGGAGUAACUGCCGGAAACGGCAGCUAAUACCGGAGUACUAUCCUUCCACCGCAUGGCGGAGGGAUGAAAGCUUUCGCGGUCUGGGAUGGGGUCGCGGCCCAUCAGGUAGUAGGUGAGGUAGCAGCUCACCUAGCCGACGACGGGUAGCCGGACUGAGAGGUCGAUCGGCCACAUUGGGACUGAGAUACGGCCCAGACUCCUACGGGAGGCAGCAG